CGGAACAAAAGAACUCCACGCUUUUAUCGUCACCAUUCAUUGCCUAAGGCUCAUAGCGGUGCGGGCAAAUAACUCAUAGUCAUCUCAUAGCAAUAACAACAUGAUCGAACUACAGUUUCAUUAUUUUCUUUUGAAUUUCUUACUAGUUUGGUCAGUAGACGACUAUGGAGUAGUCGAGGUCUUUCAGAAAAAAAAAAAUAUAUAUGUUUGCAUAUAUA
rnacentral:lncRNA from 1 species